rnacentral:rRNA from 1 species
GGGCCCGCACAAGCGGUGGAGCAUGUGGUUCAAUUCGACGCAACGCGAAGAACCUUACCUGGGCUCGAACGGCCGGUUAACGAUCGUGGAAACACGGUUACUCCGCAAGGGGGUCCGGUCGAGGUGCUGCAUGGCUGUCGUCAGCUCGUGUCGUGAGAUGUUGGGUUAAGUCCCGCAACGAGCGCAACCCUUGUCCUGUGUUGCCACAAAGUAAAAUUUAGCACUCGCAGGAGACCGCCAGCGAUAAGCUGGAGGAAGGUGGGGAUGAUGUCAAGUCAUCAUGGCCUUUAUGUCCAGGGCUACACACGUGCUACAAUGGCCGGUACAAAGCGCUGCAAACCCGCGAGGGGGAGCCAAUCGCAAAAAGCCGGUCUCAGUUCGGAUCGCAGGCUGCAACUCGCCUGCGUGAAGCUGGAAUCGCUAGUAAUGGCGUAUCAGAAUGAUGCCGUGAAUACGUUCCCGGGCCUU